rnacentral:rRNA from 1 species
AAACCAACAGGGAUUGCCUUAGUAGCGGCGAGUGAAGCGGCAAAAGCUCAAAUUUGAAAUCUGGCUCUUUCAGAGUCCGAGUUGUAAUUUGAAGAAGGUAUCUUUGGGUCUGGCUCUUGUCUAUGUUUCUUGGAACAGAACGUCACAGAGGGUGAGAAUCCCGUGCGAUGAGAUGAUCCAGGCCUAUGUAAAGUUCCUUCGAAGAGUCGAGUUGUUUGGGAAUGCAGCUCUAAGUGGGUGGUAAAUUCCAUCUAAAGCUAAAUAUUGGCGAGAGACCGAUAGCGAACAAGUACAGUGAUGGAAAGAUGAAAAGAACUUUGAAAAGAGAGUGAAAAAGUACGUGAAAUUGUUGAAAGGGAAGGGCUUGAGAUCAGACUUGGUAUUUUGUAUGUUACUUCUUCGGGGGUGGCCUCUACAGUUUAUCGGGCCAGCAUCAGUUUGGGCGGUAGGAGAAUUGCGUUGGAAUGUGGCACGGCUUCGGUUGUGUGUUAUAGCCUUCGUCGAUACUGCCAGCCUAGACUGAGGACUGCGGUUUAUACCUAGGAUGUUGGCAUAAUGAUCUUAAGUCG